AUUUUUCAUGGAAAACUGAAAGUGCACUCUACAUUUUAAAAUUAUGUUCAGGGAGUUCCCAUCAUGGCGCAGUGGUUAACGAAUCCGACUAGGAACCAUGAGGUUGCGGGUUCGGUCCCUGCCCUUGCUCAGUGGGUUAAUGAUCCGGCAUUGCCAUGAGCUGUGGUGUAGGCUGCAGACGCUGCUCGGAUCCCGCGUUGCUGUGGCUCUGGCGUAGGCCGGUGGCUACAGCUCCGAUUUAACCCCUAGCCUGGGAACCUCCAUAUGCCGCGGGAGCAGCCCAAGAAAUAGCAACAACAACAGACAAAAAGACAAAAGACAAAAAAAAAACAAAAUAAAAUAAAAUAAAAUUAUGUUCAGGAAAACAUGUCUACCUUUUCUUCAAAAUCAGUAUUUUUUAAAUGUUUGCUGAGUAUUUAAAUCUUCAAAAGAUGACUUCCAAAUCAUUUCUGCAAUUUUUUUUUCUCUUUUGGCCACCCCACGGCACAUGGAGUUUCCCCAGCCAAGGAUCAGAUCCGAGCAGCAAUUGCGACCUAUGCUGCAGCUGCCACAACGCUGGAUCCUUUAACCCACUGUGCCAGGUCAGUGUUCAAACCUGUGUCCUGGCACUGCAGAGAUGCCGCCAAUCCUGUUGUAACACAGUGGGAACUCCCAUUUCUGGAAAUUUUAAUUAAAAGAAACUAGUUAGUGUGAGAAGGAGAUAGAGACAGUGGUAAAGACCACCACCCCCAUCUCCUCCCCUCUCCUUCUCAAAAUGUCAUUUGGGAGUAGAAACAACAAAAUUGGAAUUUUUCUGAAUGUAUUUAGCAAAUUAACAUUUUUAAGUUGAGGUAUAAUUGAUACAAUAAAGCCUAUCAUCUUAAGCUUCAAGUUUUAAUUUCGUCUACCUUUGCAUAGUUUUCGAUAGAAAUAGCACCUAUUCAGAUUUAAUAAGAGCUUUAUAUGUUUCCUGGAACUCUACCAGUUUAUUUAAAGUCUGAUGAAAAUAAGUCAUUUUUUUUAGGUUUAAAUAAAAUUCUUAAAUGCAUAACAUGAGGAAUCACUGCUCAUUCUUCCUCAACAGAAUUGCAUGCUGCUAACAGUUUUCAAAAACCUGCCCAUCUUUUUCAUCUUCUCUUCCUUCUGAUACUUGAAGAUCAGAAGACCAGAUGCAAAAUUGACUGUCAGAACUUGUCCAGAGGCAAACAAUAAAAGUAUAGGAAAAAGUUAAAGUGAGCCAGUAGGAUGUCAAAGACUUUGACAGCAAAUUUAGACUGCUAACAGGUUUAUUCCUAUGCUUAUAUUUUUAUAUCUGAUUUAAAUGCAUAUUGAAAUGUCAUUAUACUUGCCUGUAGAAGUGAGAAUGAGAAAUAGAGCAAUAUUUUAGACAAAAGAAAUAUUUGUUGUUCAGUAGCUUUCAAGUGGAGAGUUUUGCCACAGUUUUAAAUAUUUUAUUUUUCGAAAUGUGAGUGUAUAUAUCAAGUUAAUUAGUAUUUAAAGAUGUAAAAUAAGCCAAAUUUCAAAGACAUAAUCUGAUAGAAAUGUGUGGAUUAAUUCCUCUGAUAAAUCUAAAUGGCUUUUCAUUGAUUUUUACUGAACUUGUUAAACAGCUUUAUUGAGGAGGUAUAAUUAAUAUAAUAAAUUGCACAUAUUUAAAGUGUAAAAUUUGAUGUUUGACAAUUGUAUAUACCUGUGAAACCAUAAUCACAAUCAAAAUGUACAUAUUCAUCUCCACCAAAAAUUCCUCAUGCCUUUUGUAAUCCUUCCCUCCCAAGCAAACACUCAUCACCAUAGAGAUUAGUUUAUAUUAUUUAAAAUUUUAUGUAAAUGGAAUUAUGCAAUAUGUACAGAGUGGUGUUCUUUCUCUCUUUUUUUUUUUUUGCUUUCAUGCAACAGCACGUUGUAGCAGGUAUCAAUAGUGCAUUCUUUCUUGUUGCUAGGUGAUAUUCAUUUGUAUGGAUAUAACAAAAUUUGUUUAUCCAUUCACUUAUUGAUGGUCUUUGGGGUUAUUUCCAGCAGUUUGAGGCUAUUUAAAUAAACUACACAAACUUUCUCAUACAAGUCUUUUUAUGAACAUAUGGCUCAUUUCUUUUGGGUAAAUAUAAAAAGUGGAAUCUUCAUAUGUUUAACUUCUUAAGAAAUUUCCACAAUGUUUUCCAAAAUUAUUGCAUCAUUUAUAUUCCCACCAGCAGUUUAUGAGUUCCACUUGUUCCACAUCCUCACUAACACUUGUGAUCAGUUUUAAUUUAGGUCUCAUAUUCAUUUGCGGGUUAAUGUUUUUAUAUAGUCCAAAGUAUGAAUAAAAGUGGGAUUUUUUGCACUUGAUGAACAAUGUAAUCAAGAUAGCACCACUUACUGGAAAGAUUUUCCUACACUGAAUUGCCUUUGCACUUUUGUUGAAAAUCAGCUGAUCAUCAGUCAAUAGUUUAACUUUUAAAAAAAGUAGACCAAUUCAUUUUUCUCUUUGUUUAUAUCAGUACCAUACUUUAUUGGUGACUAUAACUUACUACUAAUUAAGCUUGAAAUUUGGUAGAAUAAGUCAACUUUGUUAAUCUUUUACAAAGCUGCUUUGGCUAUUCUGGAGUCUUUGCAUUUCCACAUUUCCAUGUGCACUUUAGAAUGAGGUUGUCAAUUUUUUCCGCAAAGUAAUGUUGGAAUUUUGAUUGGGCUUGCAUUAAAUUGGUAGAUCAUAUUUGCAAAGAAUGUACAUAUAUAUUUAGAGAGAGAGAAAAGAGCCUUCUGAUCCAUGAAUAUGAUAAUAUCUCUCCAUUUAUUUAGGUCUUUUUGAAUUUCAUCGGUUUUGUGGUUUUCAGUAUACAGAUCUAAGACGUCUUUUGUUAUAUUCUUAACUAUUUCAUAUUUUUGAAGCUGUUCUAAAUGGUAUUUUUUAAAAUUUCAAUUUGCAAUGGUUUAUCACUAGUGUAUAGAAAUACAAUUGAUUUUUGCAUUUCGAUAAGCAAACAUUCUUGCCUUUUCAUAUUAGGUGAAAACAUUCAGUCUUCCACCAUUAAGUAAUGAUGUUAGCUGUAGAUUUUUCAUAUAUAAGAUUGAGCAAAUUUCUAGCUAUUUGUAGUUUACUCCAUCAUCCUGAUGUUAAUAGUUGUGUCUUUUUCCUGAUACAGUCUUGCUGAGACUUCAGGUAGCAGGUGUUUUGUUUUAAUCAAGAUUGGGUGUUGAAUUUUUUCGAAUGUUUUUCUGUAUCUAUUGAAAUGACUGUGGCUUUUAAAUAAUUUUAAUAUGUUAACAUGGCAAAGCCAGCUUUGAAUUACUAGGAUAAAUACUACUUGAUUCUGAUGUAUUUUUAAAUAUAUUGAUAAAGUUUUGUUUAAAAUACUAUGUCUAGGAGUUCCUGUCGUGGCCCAGUGGUUAACGAAUCUGACUAGGAACCAUGAGGUUUCAGGUUCGAUCCUAUCCUUGCUCAGUGGGUUAACGAUCCACCGUUGCUAUGAGCUGUGGUGUAGGUUACAGAUGUAGCUUGGAUCCCAUAUUGCUGCGGCUCUGGCGUAGGCUGGUGGCUACAGCUCCGAUUAGACCCUUAGCCUGGGAACCUCCAUGUGCCGCUGGAGCGGCCCUAGAAAAG
rnacentral:lncRNA from 1 species